CCUACGGGAGGCAGCAGUGGGGAAUAUUGGGCAAUGGAGGAAACUCUGACCCAGCAACGCCGCGUGAAGGAUGAAGGUUUUCGGAUUGUAAACUUCUGUCGCGAGGGAUGAAGAAUGACGGUACCUCGUAAGAAAGCCCCGGCAAACUACGUGCCAGCAGCCGCGGUAAUACGUAGGGGGCGAGCGUUGUCCGGAAUGACUGGGCGUAAAGGGAGUGUAGGCGGCAUAUUAAGUUAUGUGUGAAAGCCCGCGGCUCAACUGCGGAACUGCUUUGGAAACUGGCGAACUAGAGUGCGGGAGGGGUAAGCGGAAUUCCUAGUGUAGCGGUGAAAUGCGUAGAUAUUAGGAGGAACACCGGUGGCGAAGGCGGCUUACUGGACCGUAACUGACGUUGAGGCUCGAAAGCGUGGGGAGCAAACAGGAUUAGAUACCCUGGUAGUC
rnacentral:rRNA from 1 species